ensembl:lncRNA
CUCCCUCCUAUCUUUUUCUUCCCCCACUCUUGUCCCGUCUUCUUCCUUCUCUGUUUUUUCUUCCCUUUUCUCUUCUCUCUUCCUUGCUUCUGUGAACUCCUUGCGUUUUCCACUGUCUGUCCCUCCUCUCUUCUCUGUCUUUCCUCUUCCUUCCUCUGCUCCCUCUUUCUCAUCUGUCACAUCUUUCACUCUAAUUCUAGACUCACUUCUCCAUCACCUGUUAACGAUCCACGGAAUUCUGGUGACACGCAUCUCCUGUUCAACAACGGAAAACAGCUUAAACAAGGCAGUAUGGACCCUUCUGGUCCCAGAACUCUGUGCUGUCACCUCUGAUGGCUUAUCAUAGCCAGGCCUGUGGAUAAAUGUGGCCUCAGCCAGGAGAGGAUAAAUGAUAGAUGAUUUGGAAGAAAUAAAUGACAGGGUUGUUAAAAUGUUUUAGGGCAAGGGACAUUCAAAUAAAUGCUACCAGGUGAUUUAUUCUCUAAAAGGUGUUCUGUUCACUGUUGAAACACACCUACAUGUCUGCCAGAAAUGUGACUGUAAAAAAUCUGUGUAUAAAAAAUUUACACAGCAGCAAGCUGGCCCAAGCCUUUCAUUUACUAACACCACCACCUUUAGCUGCAAAGGCAACUUUCUACCUCAUUUCACAUGGCAGAGCCUGGAUGGCCAGAGUACCUAAAUUAGGAAGUGCUCAGUGUCUACACCCUUACCUCUGCUGCACAUGUUGGUCCUUCAAAUCUCCUCUAGCCACCAUCUCAGAAGGUGUGUGGGUGUCCUCUCGAUUGCCUGCCUCACCCUCACUUAGCUCUCCAAUUCUGAUCCUCUUCAUCCUCCUCAAAAUCAAAUGUGAAAAUCUCCUCCCAGAGAAUAUCAUAUACCCACCAAUCACUUUUUACUGUCUACCUUUAACCUUCAACCCAUAGUCAACCUUCAACAUGACUCAGUCAUGGCACCUUAGCCAAGGUGUUCUGAGAACUCAGAGUUUAAUGUAACGUGUAAGUUCUAACACCUUACCCAGAAAAGAGUGGGAAUAAAACUGAGGCAGGGAGGGGAGAAAUGAAGCCUAAGAGCAUCUGUUACUGAGCUGACACCAGCUUUGCAAGGAAGCCCAGGCAAUGGCUCCUAUCAAGACAGAGUGGAUGUUCUGCUGGCAAAAAGACAGAAGAUGCAUAUCUGGACAAAGUGCCCAUUGUCUCUCAUUAGUAGAGUGAAGCCCACAUGUCCCUCCUGGCUUCCUGUCCCCACUCAGUAGCCAAUGGAGAAGAUGGCAUUAACUCCCCACUCAUACUUGCCAUCAGCACUGAGCUUCUGUGGUUUUAUGGAAUUCUGAUGCCCAGAACUAUACCUCUGGGAAAUAUUAAAAACACCUGGAAGUGUGAGGAGAUGGGUGACGUGCUAAGACCAGAGGCCAGCAUGCAGGAGGCACUUGCUAGGUCCAACAGAGAUGUAAAAUGAGAAAAAUGGGUGAGCAUCCUAUGUAGAGGCCAGAGAGACAAGCUGGUGUGGGAUGGCACAUGAACUGUGUCUAAUAAAGCAUACUCAGUGCUACUCAGUUAUAUUCAAGCCCACCAACAAUAAAAGGCUCUGUUACAUGAUGGGGGAGGUCCUUCUGUGUAUAUGAUUCUCUCAUUGGUUGAUAAAGUACUGUUGGCCAAUAGGAAAGCAAGAUAGGUGGGACUAGGUGUCAAGGAGGAUUCUGGGAAAUGUAGUAAAGAUCCAAGCAGGAAGUGACAUAGCAGUCAGACUCAGAAUAUAAACAGGAAAUAGCUCUCUCUUGCUCUUCCUCUUCCUCCUGCUCUCUUCUCUAUGGAGCCACCAUGUGAUCCCUGCAAGAGAAGACACCUGCAGCUGGUGUCCGAUAAGAUGAGUUUUUAUGGUUGAAACUUAAGACUGAGCUAGCAAGUAAGAAAUCCUAGUCAAUUGGCCAGCAGCGUUGUAAACUAGUAUAAGACUCUGUGUGUUAUUCUGGGCGCCCACGUGGUGGCGGGGCUUGGGCGGAUGGAGUAAAGACUUAUCGUUACAGUUAUAUGAUUAAGAUAUCCUCAUAUCUUCUCCAGAGGAGAGCUGCUUGUCCAGUCUCUCGAGAUCCUGCCUGUUUCUUCUUCUGCAACUUAGAAAGGGGUUUAUAGCUACGAACCAGACACCUGGGAGGAUUGUCUAGGAGUGGAAAGAUGUUUUAGGUGACAGUUUCACAGGGUUCAAAUCCUGCUCACCUGGUGUAGAAGCUUGGACAGACACUGCAUCAAUAGAAGUAGGUAGAGAUUGAGCUUCCCAGCAGCCUUACAGCAGACAGGAAUGAGGGCAGAGCAAACAUUGGUCUGUGGCCCCCACUCCAGUGGCCUGUCUCGGCCCCACCUCCCAAAGUAUCCAUUACUACCAAAAAUGCUGCCACCAGCCUGGACGAAACAGCAACACGCGACUGUGUGUAUGCCUGUGGGACUAUUUGAUGUUCAAAAUGUUUCAGAGGUCCAACUUCUUUAACAUGUCCUUUGGAUAUAUUGAAAUACAAAUCCCUUUCCUCACUUACCCAUUUUAAUUGCCCUAUGCAGAAAUCUGACUGAUGGUGUUUCUGCCCUCAAGAGGUCUAUCGUGCCCUUGGGAAGGUCUCCAGUCACUUGCCAAGAUGGUGCCUACAAUAGCCAGCUUAAAUUCCCACAGUACACCAAAGGCCCAAGUGAAGACAAGGAAUCCCCUUCCUUCGAGACAUCCUUCUUUUCUUGGUCAGGAACCCAGGUUCCUGAGAGUCUGCAGAGUCACCUCCCCCAGUCUUUACUGUAACACAUCUUCCCUGAUGACCUUCUGGUGUGGAAAUCCAGCUAGAAAUGAGAGCACUAACAGUUUUUUGCUGGGUGGUGGUGGCGCACACCUUUAAUCCCAGCACUCGGGAGGCAGAGGCAGGCAGAUCUCUGUGAGCUCGAGACCAGCCUGGUCUAUAAGAGCUAUUUCCAGGAUAGCCUCCAAAGCCACAGAGAAACCCUGUCUCAAAAAACCCAAAAAGCAAAAACAAAGAUAAAACAAAGCCACACACCCACCUGGGUUCUUGUGGCUUCUGCAGAAGCAGAUGGUUUCUGGUGGCCUCCCACGUGUGAAACAAACACUUGGUCACCUGUGCCCCUCUCGAACAUCUACCCCAGAUGAUCUUUCCUCAUUUUCCUAGUAUUAUUCUCACUGUCUCCAGUCUCUGGUGCAGUGUACAAACCCAGUGGCUUCUGGCUUGGAGACCGUCUGUAUAUGUCAUGUACACAGGCACGGGGAUAUUAAAUGUGCAGUGAUCCUCUUGUGUCCUCUAUCUGCAGAGGGUGAAGGGGCAAGCAGAACAGGGGGAGAGUGGAGACACGAGGAGACUGCCUUCACGCCCUUAAGUUUAGUGUAAUGCAUACCUUCAUUGUCAGCCAACUGCAUUUAAAAUAACCUAGCAGAGACAUCUUUGAGUUGUCUGGUUGUCAUUUCUACAGAGAUUUACUUUGGCGGGAAGACCCACCCUGUGCAUAGUGGUAUCAUCCAAUGGGCUGGCAUCCUGAAGUGAAUAAAAAGGGAAGAAGGAGAAAGCAAGAAUUCACCUCUCUCUGCUUAGUGACUGUAGAAACAAUAGGAAUAACUACCCCAUUCUCCAGCUGUAUUCUUCCCCCACCAUAACAAACUGUAUCCCUUUUACCUCAAUGGAUCGUUCCUGAAUUGCUUCAGUCAGGGAUCUUGAAACAUCAACAAGAAAAAGUAGCUAAUACAAGUGCCAGUCUCUGUGAUUCGUUUGGGGAUAGAACAUUCCUGCUGACUCACUCUAUUAGCUAAACGAUGGGGGCAGAUACACAAAUUCCCGAAGCGUCCUUCCUAUCCUAAUAGAUUCUACACCACAGGUCACAGAACCAACAAUGGGCCUCUGCCAACAUUAUAGCCUAUCUAUCCAUCUCAGAUAUACUUUCAGGAGACUCGACAGGUGACCCCAGCUUGGCUGCAUGAACCCACAGGACCCUCUGUGAGUCAGCAUUGGCCCAGUUAGACUUGUUCUUCUACCUUCCUCUGUAGACUGUCCCUUUGACCCGAGUGAUUUGGCUUCAACCUCACAUGAGCUCAGAAUUCGUGUUUGUCUGGAGCCUUUUGUACUUACCUUUCACUGCUCUCCAGAAAAUAAGUAUAUGGCCUAUACUGGGGUGUAUAAAAUGAUAUUUACUGUGUAUAUUUAUGGUGCAUCCUUGUGGGAUUUCAUUAACCUUCUGCCUACAGGGGCUGUAAGAAAUGAGAGUCCAUAGGUUAGAAGGCUCCUGCCUCCAGGGUUUUGUUGUAGCAGACUGAAUGAAUGGAUAAGGACAUCUUUAACACAGAGAGAAACAAUGGCGCUCUUCUGCCACACAGGAACAUCAGAAGAACAUUGAAAUGUCACAUUCUCCAACCUGUGUACUCCCAUGUUCAGGGGCCUGCUUUACACCAAUAGAGCAUUCAUCUUGUCUACUGCAUUAUUCUGUAAAGAGAUAUAAGCCUGACUUCCAGAACAGACUUCAUGUGACUGAAUGAGAUGAGAAUCUCCUUUUCAGCAGCAACUCCUUUCCCGAACAGCUUGAAAACCAAAGUCCCCCACAUAGCAUUGGUUCUCACCAUGUAGAUGCUUUGAAACUUGGGUCCCAGGACACACAUCCUUGCUCCUGAUGAGACUAAUCCAAUUGGAAGCAUCAUUCGACCAAGAGACUGUCUAUGGUAGAGGCUUGUGACCAGCUGGGAUAUUUUGGGGGUUUCUCUGUCCAGAAAGAAAGACAGAAGGUGAGAAUUGGGUUGGUACAGAACAACUCAAGCAGGCAUAGGCUAAUAUAUAAUCCUGUCUAUCAGAGUAACCAUCAUCAUAGCAACAUCCUAUAACUUCAAGUCUACUCAGUGGUCAGAGGGUUGGUUGGUUAUUGCUGUUGCUUUCUUUAAACAUGUCCUUGUGGUUGAGCAGGAGAUGAUAGAUAGAUAGAUAGAUAGAUAGAUAGAUAGAUAGAUAGGCCAUGAAUUAGGCAGCAUGUGAUGGGAUGUUCAUAUGGAAAGAGCUGGAGAGAUGAAAGACAUUGGGGAAAAUAGUGGAAUUGAUUUACAAUUUAAUUCCAUUUUAAUCAAAAAACUUAAGAGUACAACAAAGAUCCUUUAAUCAAGAGAGGCUUAGAACUGAAUCAGGACGGAUGGAAAAUGUUGUGAUGAGUGGGGAGGCACACAGAAACCUUAUCUGCAGCCUCUCUAUAGACUGCUGGAAGGAAAGCAACCUGAAGGGCAUGCACACAACUUGGAGGAAAAAUACAUAAUAACUAUGGCAAAACCCAAAGAUGAUGGUGACUUUCAGGCAUGGCUUGCCAAUCUGUGCCAGUUGAGCAUGAAGCUGAAUAUUGAAACUGAGCUCCUGUAGGUCUGGGAAGAUGGAGGAGAUGGAGCCCUUCUUCUACUACUGUUUGGAAAUACACAGUGGUGGGCUGAGUUUACUCUGGAAACAAAGCAACAUUCACCAGGAGUGAACCUGGAGCAGUUUCUGCCCCUUGACAGGGCCAGAGUUUGAACAGCUGGUUCUCUCUGCUGGGCUCCAGAAGGGGGUUGUGCUUCUGUUGUCCAAGCACAAAGUGUGAUUCAUGGACCACACACCAAACCACAAUCAGGGCUGUGAUGCUGCUACUCAAGGGAGCACAGAAUGCAUGUGCCAUGCAUGACUGGAAAGAUCACUUUCCAGUGAACACACCCCUGCCAGCAGAGCAAUCACGGAAGGACAAUAAUAACUCAGAGCUCGGGGUCGUCUGGAUCUUGACUAGACUACACCAGAGUACCACUGAUCUAUUGCAGGGAAGAGGUUCUUGGUUUGGCUACAGAUGGAGAAAACAGGUCACUGUCUGUCACUGAGGGACAUCAAGGCAGGACUCAAGGACCCAGAAGACAGAAACCAUGGAGGAGCACCACUGGAUGGCUUACUCUCUGGCCCAUGCUCAGCUAGCUUCCUUCUAUAGCCCAGACUACCUAUGUUCUGAAGCUCCCUCUUGCAUCUCCUCCAAGCUGGGAUAAGCACUGAUUGACUCAGGGACUUCACGUGUUUCAGCCACUUUCACACUUUCCAUCUCAAGCUUGAAUACAGUUGACAGAGGGAGCACUAAUUAGUUAAUCAGAGCUGUUAAAAGAAUUCCAUACAUGUAUAAGACCAAGCAAAUGAAGAAAGGAGGAGGAGGAGGAGGAGGAGGAGGAGGAGGAGGAGGAGGAGGAGAAGAAGAAGAAGAAGAAGAAGAAGAAGAAGAAGAAGAAGAAGAAGAAGAAGAAGAAGAAGCUAUCAAUUUGAGAGUGGGGGUAUAGAAGGGGUGGGUGAGAGGGAGGAGAGGAAAGGAAGAAAGUGAUGUAAUUCUAUUUCAAUUAAAAACAUUGUUUUUUUUUUUAAAGAAUCAGGAUGUUUUAAAAAUAUGAAGACACUAAGCCCACAAUAUUUUUAAAGGAAUAAAUUAGUGAAAAGAGGGCAGGCUCCUUACUCAGAAUCACAGCAUAGCUUGAAACACAGGAGAGUGAUCCACAGGCCGUCAUUGCAGAAUUCACUUCCUCCCCCGGGAAUUUGAUCAGUCUGAUUUUUGCAGACCUGAAAUACUCCAGGUUAUGUGCACUGGGCCUUCCUGGCCACAGCCUAUACCAGAUCUACAUCCUAAAUUCUCAGACUCCAUUGCCUUUGAAUAUUUUCACAACAAAGAGGGACAUCAAGUAGUAUAAACCAAAUAAUGCAGCUUCUGAGACCUCAAAAUGCAGCUUGGAUAAUUUAUGAUUUGUAUGGUAAUUUAUUUAAACAUCCUUCCUGCUAGACAAAUAAAUUGUUUUCAGAGUGGUUUCUAUUACAAAAAAUAAUACGGUGUGCUUAUAUAAGCAUGUAUGUUUAUCUUAAAAAAAUUUUUUUUUAAACUGGGAGCAAAAUAUCCUGGGGAAUAGUGGAAGUUUGAGAGACUGGUCCGGGCAGAUGGCACCACACUUCUACAGGCUUGCAUAGCACUUAAUAUCCCUUCCACACGGAUGCACUUUGCUUGCUCUGAAAACUUAAUUAAUGUUGUUGAUCAAUUAAUUGCAAGCAAGAGGGGAGGCAAAAAGCCUUGAGAAUGUCUGAAAUGCUGUUCUAGUAUGCCACAUUUACAUAUUACUCACACAGCAGGCACAGUUGAGGUGCCUCGAGUAAUAUUUGAGAACACAGUUAUGUACAUUGAAAGAAAAAAAAUUUAAAGGGCUUUAUAGGUCAAGAGGAGGCUAUUAAACAGAUUUCACAGAUUACUAAGUGACAGCGUUAGGAGUAGCAGAUGUGUAUUGGACUUACGUGGAACUUUUUAUUUAAUGUAAUUUAUUAAAUAUUAAAUAUAACAUUGCUGUGGCUCCCUAUCUCCAUGAAAGGCAUAUUAAAUUUGUCUUAGGUGCUCACAAUACUUAUCAGUCUGUCCAUAUCAACUUGGGCCAUAUGAUAGUCUUCUUGGUAGAAAGAAAAAAGAAAUAUAAAUUGUGUUGGGUAUGCACAGUGCACCAAGACACACCACGGGUUACAUCAGUUCAUCUCCCUGCAACAACCAUGCGAGUAUCACAUUACUGUUUCCCAAAAAUACAUAAGAAAUCAGAGAUUUGGAAAUGCCAAACGUCUUUGAUAUUUCACAAGUAGAAAGCAGGAGAUUUGGGUUUUUGAAUUGUAGUCCAAUUGGCUUUGAUUCCCAGAACCCUGACUUCCUUUGAGCUAAAUCCUCCCUGCUGCAUGUCGACUAUGAGAAGGUAAAGUGGGGAAAACAUUUCCUGAAGCUAGGCCUCCACUGAAACUUUCCAGGUUAUCUUAACGGAGAAUAGCGACAUCAACCCAGAAAGCAAUAACAAUCCCUGUUAAGUAGCCAGGCAACAUCCUUGGCUUCCUCCUGUGAAAUCAUCCCCAGUCAAAGCCUUUCACUGGAAUACUGCAGACUGCAAAUGAUGGCCAAAUCCAAACAAACAUUUUGAGUGUACAGCAAUUCGCUCCCAGACCCCAGAAAUCAUUUGUUUGGACCUG